rnacentral:rRNA from 1 species
CCGCUGAACUUAAGCAUAUCAAUAAGCGGAGGAAAAGAAACUAACAAGGAUUCCCCUAGUAACGGCGAGUGAAGCGGGAUGAGCUCAAGCUUAAAAUCUCCGUGCAAGUUUUGCACGGCGAAUUGUAGUCUAUAGAGGCGUGGUCAGUGAGGGCGCUCGGGGCAAGUUCCUUGGAAGAGGACAGCAUGGAGGGUGAUACUCCCGUUCAUCCCUGAGUGGCUUUUGCGUACGACCCGUGUUCUUUGAGUCGCGUUGUUUGGGAAUGCAGCGCAAAGUAGGUGGUAAAUUCCAUCUAAAGCUAAAUAUUGGUGCGAGACCGAUAGCGAACAAGUACCGUGAGGGAAAGAUGAAAAGAACUUUGAAAAGAGAGUUAAAGAGUACCUGAAACUGCUGAAAGGGAACCGAAUCGUUUCCAGUGUCUAUAAUCCGUGGCAUAUUUCAUUGGCGAGUGUGUGCGUGCGUGUGCUGUGGCAGUGGCUUUUUUGGCUGCGCUCGGCGUGUGUGCUGUGUGUGCUUGUUGGUGCCCUGUGCUGCGGUGGGACGUCAAGGUCAGUUCGUAUGCUGCGGGAAAUGGCUGCCGAGGAGGUAGGGCUUACGCUCCGCGUUUGUCUGUUAUAUCUUGGUGGACGAGUAGUCGCGGUUGGGACUGAGGUGCCUACAACGUGCUUUUGAGUGUGUAUGGGUCUCCGUGUGCGCCGUGUGCGGAUAGCUUGCUAUGCGUGUGUGGUUGUGUGUGGAUUGAUGCGUACUGUAACUUGUCGCCGUUCGGGACGUUGACGAAAUGGAGCGAUCCGACCCGUCUUGAAACACGGACCAAGGAGUCUAACAUGUGUGCAAGUGUUAGGGUGUGGAAACCCCAGCGCGAAAUGAAAGUGAAGGGCAGCGCAAGUUGUCUGAGGUAGGAAACGUUGCGGGCUUCGGUCUGCGGCGUGGCACUAUCGACCGAUCAUGAGCCUUCGUGGUGAAAGAUUUGAGUUUGAGCACAUAUGUUGGUACCCGAAAGAUGGUGAACUAUGCCUGAGUAGGGUGAAGCCAGGGGAAACUCUGGUGGAAGCUCGUAGCGAUUCUGACGUGCAAAUCGAUCGUCAAACUUGGGUAUAGGGGCGAAAGACUAAUCGAACCAUCUAGUAGCUGGUUCCCUCCGAAAUUUCCCUCAGGAUAGCAGCAACUUUUUUACGAUAGUUUUAUGAGGUAAAGCGAAUGAUUAGAGGAUUCGGGGAAGAAACUUUCUCGACCUAUUCUCAAACUUUAAAUCUGUAAGACCUGCAGGUUUCUUAAUUGAACUUGUGGAUGUGAAUAUCAAGUUGCUAGUGGGCCAUACGGGGUAAGCUCGUCUGGCG